GGUUCCCCAACCCACAACCCACAACCACCGCCUGUGGCCACUUCAAGCCCCAGGAACUGAGGCUUUUCCACGAGCUCUGAAUCUGAAGAUACCUAAGUCAUUGGACUGGUUCCUCAUACUGUCUCUGUGCUGUCACCAGUUUACCAGGAGUAUAAACUCAGAGAACACCUCAGAGAGAAUUUCCUGUGGAAAUGAGACUCAGCAGGAUGCUUGAAGAACCAGAGUCUGAAGAAUCCCCAAAUAACAUGGAGGAAUCAUAAUACUGGCCUCUGUAAGGACAGUAUGACACCCACAGCAUUAGCUUACAAAGAGUGUUUGCAGAUCAUUUUCAGAGACCUUCAAGAAUCCAUAAUUACAUGUUGUGGCAAGAUCACAAGAUUUAUAUCAGGGACAAAAUGGUGCCAAAUCCCAGCCCAGGAGUUUUCCAUCUUAAGUGCACUGACCCUGUAAUCGUGAUCUUAUGAAAAGCUCACAUUUUUUCUGCCUAUCUGCUUUCUGUGCUGACCAUCAAGAUGAAAAAAAAA